AGAAUGAACGCUGGCGGCGUGCUUUACACAUGCAAGUUGAGCGAGGCCGGGUAGCAAUACCCGAGUCGAGCGGCGAACGGGUGAGUAACGCGUGGAUAACCUGCCCAGAAGUGGGGGACAACCCGGGGAAACUCGGGCUAAUACCGCAUAACACCGAAAGGUCAAAGGGGCCCGCAAGGGUCUCGCUACUGGAGGGGUCCGCGUUCGAUUAGCUAGUUGGUAGGGUAAUGGCCUACCAAGGCGACGAUCGAUAGCCGGCCUGAGAGGUGAUCGGCCACACUGGAACUGAGACACGGUCCAGACUCCUACGGGAGGCAGCAGUGGGAAUUUUGCGCAAUGGGCUAACGCCUGACGCAGCAACGCCGCGUGGAGGAUGAAGGUCUUUGGAUUGUAAACUCCUGUCAGCAGGGAAAAAGCAACUCGGCCUCAUACGCCGGAAGUUGAUUGUACCUGCAGAGGAAGCCCCGGCUAACUCUGUCGCCAGCAGCCGC
rnacentral:rRNA from 1 species